UACUGGAAAAGCAUUGCAAAUAAGGAAAUCUUGAGAUCUAGAGGAAUCUAUGUGGCAAAGAUUCAGUUUAAACAAGUCCUCAGGAUGGCUUCCAUUCCUUCUGGUUCUUGAGCUAAUUCCAGGGGUGUUUAGUAUUUUUUUUUAAUCUUUGACAGGAGUUAUACUUAGUGUAUAUGUCUUAAUUUAUGGAUUUAUUUAUCUUUUAAUAGGUCCAGAACUGCUGAAGACUCACAUCUUGGAUAUUGAGAGAGCUAUGGCUUUACAAAUAACUCAAUGGAUAUCUGUCUUCUCCAUGAGGCUGAAGACUGAAGGAAUCACAUCUGUCUUUUGAUUUUUAAAUCCCCAGUGUCUAGCAGAGCGCUUGAUAUGUGGUAGAAGCUCAUUAUAUAUUGGUUGAGUAAAUGAAUGAAAAAAAAUAGAAUACCCAUACUCAAGGAUGUUUUGGCUUAGAAUUGAUUCACUAUCUCAAAUGCAGCUGGAUUGUUGCCAUUGAUUUCUAGGGAUAUUUUAGCCUGAUGAGUGAAAAGGCUUGAGGGGGCACUUGUUUCCAAAAAAGAUCUAAUUUAUCCUCUUCCCUUCCAUUUCUGACCAGUUUGUAACUUCUUUUUACCAUAUGCAAUCCUUAUUAAAUUUAAAAAGUCUCAGCAUUUCCUAGUAGCUUGAUACUUUCAAAUAUAACUCCUAUCAUAGGAAAUAUUAGAAAAAUUAUAGAAUGUACCCCUGCCCUCCCCCCACCACCUUCUUUUGAGACCUACUACCUUUCUUCUUUAGGUUGCAAUCUGGAUUUCUCAAAAGUCUGCUAAAGUUUUAUUUGGCCUAUAGUUUGCAUGGAUCCUCCCCACAUGUUUUCUACCCCACCCUCAAAUAAGGCCAACACAGGUUGACUUUUGCUUAAGCUAAUUUUCAUCUCUGUGCAACAAUUAAAAUUUAUGCACCAGAGAUUAUGACCAAUAAACACCACUAACUUUAAACCAUAUCCUUACUCCUGUCCAAUACAUCCCAAAGUUUGUUGAGUUGACGAGUAUUAAUUUAUUCAUUCAUGUUCCCACCUGUGCAUCUAAAUUCAGACACAUUUAUUUGGUCAUAGGCAAAUAAUAGUGAGAGAAAGGUUAGGGUGUAAUGGAUUAAACAUGCAACAUUUAGGUUUUAAGGAAAUUCUUCAAAUACUAACCCAACCAAGAACUCAAGCACAGGAUCAGUGUCAUUAGUUAGAACGAGCGAAUAGACAAUGAGCUGACCAAUUAUAAAGAUUAUUCUUGAAUUUUAUAAUGAAAUACUCUUUGCUUCUUGUCCAUAUCCUUAGUAAAAUUGUACAGAGACUGCAUAGCAGGUGCUCAACAGGUAUGCUCUUAAAAAGUGUUGAUUGCCAUAUCGAUCACUAUAACUAUUUAGGCUUAGUCCUGAAAGCUAUGCAUUCCUUUGUUUAUUAGUUCUAAUCAGCAUUCAUUCUGAGUGCUAUUAUACUGCCUUGUAAACAAUAUUGUUUUGCAACCUUAAAGUCAGUAAUUCUGUAGAAAUUAAAUUGGGUUUACAGUAAAUCCAUGAUUACCAUAUAAUCUGUGGAGUCUAAAUAAUGAUGUACUUAGCUGUAGAAUUGCAUGUAAAACACAGAGCGAUGAUUACAUGGCUAUUUGGGGCCUAGGAAAGAAAGCGAUGCCAAAUGUUUUGAUGGUUGAAGAGCUGAGAAAUCUUUUUGUUUUUAAUGUUUCAAUUUAAAUAUUAUCUUUAAACAUCUUGAUACUACCCUAGAUGCUUUAAAAAUGGCUUUAAAAUCUACUACUAAAUAUUAUGCCUUACAUUGUAUGUUGCGAGCUGUUUAAUAAAUUAAGACUUGUUACAAAUAGAAAAUCCAUCUGAUUUAAGGUGACAAUAGAAAAAACUAAGCAGGCUUGCCUUUGGCAAAUAAUUCAUCUCUGUUUUAAGGGGAUCUUUCAUGAAAGUGUUCAGUUUAAGCUUUAAGCAAUGUUUUUAGACAAAAGAACAAUUAGUCAAAUGAGCAUUUCAUCCAAGGGCUCUUGCCUUGAAGUUUUUCUAAAGGUCUCAUUCAUGACUAGACAUGCUCUUAAUUAAGUUAAAUCAAUGUAUAUUGCUCUCCUAAUACAGCCCAAGCUCUGAGCCAUGAUAAUUAUUGAAUCUUGCAGAGUGGCCCACAGAGAUAUCUACAGAGGUGAUAUGAUUGGUCAAAGUCAUACCAUUGCUUCAUGGCAGAGUUUCAUCUAAAACUGAUAUGUCUUACCUCCUAAUCCAGAGUCUUCCACACUACAUCAAGCCCUGUAGAGGCUUGAUACAUCUACAUAAAUUAGAUGUAGACCCCACUCUUAAGGGGCUGAAAAUUUAGUAGAGAAUAUGAGACAAGAAGAGCCAAAAUAUCACAAUAACUAAAGAGCAAGAAAGCUAUCACAGAGGUGGUAUUAUGUAAUAAUGAGCAGCAUGGGACUGACAUUUCAGUAGCCCAGAGAUUAAGCCAACUACAGCAAGAUGUGAUCUCCACUAAGACACUUACUAAUUCUAACCUUAAUUCUUUUUCCUGUAAAAUUAACAAGUAGGAUUGUUGUGAGGAUGAAGUGUAAUAAUCUAUGUAAGUUAAGUUCUUAGCACAGUGGUUGGUACAUGGGAAGAAUUCAGUAAAUUUUAAUUAUUAUUAAUGGAGGGGGAAAUUAUGAGAGUGUCAUUAGUGGGAAGGGACCACCAAAUUAGUACAACUGGGAAAGGCUAUGAGGAAAUAGCAUUUGUGAAGCAGGAAGGACAACCAUGGGCCUCAGAGUUGAAAGAGAAGGAGACGGUGACAUCUUCAGCAAGAUUGUAGUAUGUAAAUAUGGGAAAGUAACAAAGGAAGAAAAAUGAGAGGCAUAGAAACAGCAUGCAAGGGGCGGCUGGGUGGCUCAGUCGGUUAAGCGUCCGACUUCAGCGCAGGUCAUGAUCUCGCGGUCGGUGAGUUUAAGCCCCGCGUGGGGCUGUGGGCUGAUGGCUCAGAGCCUGGAGCCUGCUUCCGAUUCUGUGUCUCCCUCUCUCUCUGCCCCUCCCCCAUUCAUGCUCUGUCUCUCUCUGUCUCAAAAAUAAAUAAAACAUUAAAAGAAAGAGCAUGCAAAACUUCCAUUUGGGCUGAAUUCAUAUUUAAGAAAUAAUAGUAACUGUGAGUAUUAACCAUCGAUUCAUAGGACUGAGAUGACAAAGACAUGGGAGACCACAAUAAUGUGCAGCUUCCCUGGCUCUCAGCUGAAGGAGAGAAGAUCUCCUCAGGAAGAGGUUUAACACCUGGGGAAAAAAGAGGAUGUGGAUCCAAACUGAAUACCAGGCUUUAUAUACCUGUCUGAGCCUCAGUGUCAUAACCUAUAAAAUGAACAUAUUGAGUUGAUGUAACAAAUAAAUGCUCUUAUCUCAGUACUUACUGUAUAUUUAAACAUUAUGACUUGGUGCCAUUAUAAUGAUUAUUAUUCCUUUUGUUAAUAAUAGCCAUCCUUUGGGGCACCUGGUUCUCUCAGUCUAUUUGGUGUCCAAAUCUUGGUUUUUGGCUCCGGUCAUGAUCUCACAGGUUUGUGGGAUCAAGCCACAUGUCAGGAUCUGUGCUGACAGCGUGGAGCCUGCUUGGGAUUCUCUC